AUUGAACGCUGGCGGCAGGCCUAACACAUGCAAGUCGAACGGUAGCACAGAGAGCUUGCUCUCGGGUGACGAGUGGCGGACGGGUGAGUAACGUCUGGGAAACUGCCCGAUGGAGGGGGAUAACUACUGGAAACGGUAGCUAAUACCGCAUAACGUCGCAAGACCAAAGUGGGGGACCUUCGGGCCUCACACCAUCGGAUGUGCCCAGAUGGGAUUAGCUAGUAGGUGGGGUAAUGGCUCACCUAGGCGACGAUCCCUAGCUGGUCUGAGAGGAUGACCAGCCACACUGGAACUGAGACACGGUCCAGACUCCUACGGGAGGCAGCAGUGGGGAAUAUUGCACAAUGGGCGCAAGCCUGAUGCAGCCAUGCCGCGUGUAUGAAGAAGGCCUUCGGGUUGUAAAGUACUUUCAGCGGGGAGGAAGGCGGUGAAGUUAAUAGCUUCACCGAUUGACGUUACCCGCAGAAGAAGCACUGGCUAACUCCGUGCCAGCAGCCGCAGUAA
rnacentral:rRNA from 1 species